AUUUAUAUAGUUUAAUUAAAACAUUACAUUUUCAUUGUAAUAAUAAUAGCCGCCAAUAUAUUUAUAAAUU
rnacentral:tRNA from 1 species